GGAGACUUUUGAGAAAACCGUAAAAUGUAGAACUAUUAUUAAUUUAAUAUGUUAUGGAGAUAAAUCAUUUUUUUUGAACGAAUGGAGAUAAAUCAUUUAAAAGUGAUUUCAUAUAUCCAGUAAUUGAAAAGUUAGGAAUACCUUAUAUACACACAUGUAUAAACAAAAAAUAAUGUAAAUGUAUUUAACCUAUCAGGUUUAUUGGUAAUUCUUAAUGACGAAAAUUUAUUAUAUAGCACUUUUUUUUUGAAACACUGAAAAUGUAAUAUAUACAUGCAACAAAAAUCACGGGUUAAUGUUCUUUUACUACUAUUAAAGUAGGAAAUUGUAUUAUUUUUUAGGGUUAGAAAAAAUUGGGAAUGUAAAUGGAAGAAUUCGUUAUUUCCUACAUCUCAGUUUAAUUAUCGUUGUAAUAUAAAAUUUUUGUUUUAAAAUAAGUGUAGUUUUAUAAUUUUAAUGCAAAAUUUGUUAACAAUUUCUAUUGAUUGAAAUAUGGUUAGAUGUAUAGAUAAUAAUAUUUUUAUUUUAGAAAUAUACGAUAUUAAAUAUAUUUUUUAAUUUGUGUGCAUAAACCUAAACGGACAAUUAAAAUAAAACGGAGGUAAUAUAACUUAAACAAUUUUUUUUAUGACUAAUUCAAAUGAUUUAAGUAAAUGUUGAUGAUUGUAGAUGUUCUAACUAGUUUAAACAGCUUGAUACCUAUCUGAUUAUCAAACAUAAAAGAAAAAGGCAUGUUUACUACAGUAUCAAAGAAACUUUUAGAACAGUUUUUUAAACUUUUUUUAACUAGCCAUUUAAUAGUUUUUCAUUAAUUGAUGAACUUUAACAAUUGUUAGAAUCACCUAAUUACAAAAGAACUAAAACACGAUUAACAAAAAGUUCAAUAGAAAUUUGUUAUUGCUUUGUCUAAAGGCCGACAAGGCGUUAUAUAGUACUGUAUACCAAUACAAGGUUGUCAGAAAGAUACUACCAAUACAAGGUUGUCAGAAUUAAGAUGCAAAUAUUUAAAUACAUUUGACCAUUAAACACUGACACUGAAAGAAUACAAUUCUCAGAAAGAUACUCCUCGUGCCAUAUGGAAAGACCCACCUAGACCUCAAGUAGCCACACUUAUUUAGCUCGACUUCAGAAACUAACGCGAGCCUCAUCAAAAAACAGGUACGGUGAGAGCCACAUUUUGCUGUCUACCUUCCAAACCUACAACACGGACCGAAAAUUAACUCACCGAUGUGAGUCAAGCGAUCCAACAGCAGUGAUGGGAUGAUCAAUCUUCACACGAGUCUCCCAUGAAGAACUGUCACUCCAAUAACCCAAAGGAGCUCCGAGUAAACCGCAACGGGCUAACACCGAGAACCGGAGCUAGCUCCUCAGAGCCUCACAAUGUAUGGCUGAUGGAGUUCAAGUUCGCGAAAACCUAUAAACGCGACGGAGACACAAGAACCAUCUUCACCUAAAGCGACUUGCAUCAUGGGUCAAGCGAGGAUAAACCGGUCAAAUAAACCCAAACCGGAAGCUAAUCGGUCCGCCAAAGAUGCAACGGAAAACCACCAACGUCCGAGACGGUUUGCGUGGAACCCAAGAGUGAUAUUAGCAUUUGAUAUUAUAACCCAAGAGUUUCGAGAGGUGCCAUUUCCUGAUGAGGAACGUCCAAAUAGUGUCGUUGGGAGUCUCAACGGGCGUCUCUGUGUUUUCAAUACAUCAUACGAUUUGCGUGAUGAUAUUUGGGUGAUGAAUGAGUACGGUGUAGCAAGUUCGUGGACCAGAAUCCGGAUCAGCUUGUUGUGCAGGUUGAUGAAACCGGUGUGUUCGACCAAGAACAGUGAGGAGGUUCUUCUGGCGCUUGAUAAAUACAUGGUGUUGUACAAUUUUGAGACCCAUGCAUGGAGGAAACUGGAACUUCAUGGGGUAGACCUCACUCAGGGGUUCGAUGUCAAUACGUACGUAGAGAGCCUCGUAUCGCCUAACUCGUAUGGUCUUGACAACCGAAGAAAGCACUUUGAUUUUAAGUUAUAUAAGGCUGGGCACAAACAGUCUUACUCGUCUCGUUAGUUUGUUUUAUAUUUGGAUCGACUGUAGCCCUUUUUCUCACACACAUAUAUAUUGAUAUUAGUUUGACAAUUUUAGAUCUGGUAAUAUAGAGACCUUGAUGGCUGACGCAGGCUCGGUUCUUUACGUCCA